GUGAGGAAUAUUGGUCAAUGGGCGAGAGCCUGAACCAGCCAAGUCGCGUGAAGGAAGACUGCCCUAUGGGUUGUAAACUUCUUUUGUACUAGAGUAAAAAGGGGUAUGUAUACCCUGUUGCAAGUAUAGUACGAAUAAGCAUCGGCUAACUCCGUGCCAGCAGCCGCGGUAAUACGGAGGAUGCGAGCGUUAUCCGGAUUUAUUGGGUUUAAAGGGUGCGUAGGCGGGGAUUUAAGUCAGCGGUGAAAGUUUGAGGCUCAACCUUAAAAUUGCCGUUGAAACUGGGUUCCUUGAGUGUAGAUGAAGUAGGCGGAAUUUGUGGUGUAGCGGUGAAAUGCAUAGAUAUCACGAAGAACUCCGAUUGCGCAGGCAGCUUACUAAGGUACAACUGACGCUGAAGCACGAAAGCGUGGGUAUCAAACAGGAUUAGAAACCCCAGUAGUCC
rnacentral:rRNA from 1 species